rnacentral:lncRNA from 1 species
AAAAACACUAAAAUCGUUCACUUUUCAUAGUAAAGAUAAGCACUUUGACAGUUAUUUGGACCUGACGACUCGGUGCUGCCACCUCGUGGACGCCAUUUUACGAAACCCUCAUUAAUACAGUAGAAAUAUGUACAAUAAACGAGCGCAUGAUUCUUAUAUCCCAUUGUAGGAAAAUAACCCACAGGUAGUUUAUAUAAAGGUAUUUUAUGCACCUGUGUCACAAGCGGUAGUUUCGUUGCGUUUUGUUUCAGUUAGCACGGUUGACCGGUUAGCAACCUUUGAACAACUGUUUUGAAGUUGUCAAUGUCAUAUGAUGAACAUAACAUAACCUAGAUUUGGGCUAUCUUCAUUUUCUAAUUUUACUAAAUUGGAUAAUUCGAUCCUGAAAAUUUAAGACCAUAAAAUAUAGACUUAUAUCAGGAAAUAUGAAAAAGUAUGCUCGGAAUGUGUUGUAUGACAAACUCCACAGAGGGGGUGUGUUAGUUUGUGUUGGCCUAACUCUCUAUGGUUCAGUACUCUUAGGUGACCAUUUCUAUAAGUAUUUCAAAUAUGUCCGACCUCAAAUACAAGCCAGUAAGGAAGCUGCUGAGAAGGAACUCUUAGCCGAAGGAUCAUCAGAAAGACUUCUGUAAAAUGUGUUCCCUCAUGCAUAUUAUGUUUACUUAGAAUAAUAAUUUAAGCUGUAAAUGUAAUUAUUAGUUAGUUUUGUUUUGAUGUUAUUUUAUUAAAAUCAAUGCCUAAGUAA